UUUACACAUGCAAGUCGAACGGUAGAGGGGGCAACCCCUCGAGAGUGGCGAACGGGUGAGUAAUGUAUCGGAACGUGCCCAGUCGUGGGGGAUAACGUAGUGAAAAUUACGCUAAUACCGCAUACGAUCUACGGAUGAAAGCGGGGGAUCGCAAGACCUCGCGCGAUUGGAGCGGCCGAUAUCAGAUUAGGUAGUUGGUGGGGUAAAGGCUCACCAAGCCAACGAUCUGUAGCUGGUCUGAGAGGACGACCAGCCACACUGGAACUGAGACACGGUCCAGACUCCUACGGGAGGCAGCAGUGGGGAAUUUUGGACAAUGGACGAAAGUCUGAUCCAGCCAUUCCGCGUGCAGGACGAAGGCCUUCGGGUUGUAAACUGCUUUUGUACGGAACGAAAAAGCUCUUAUUAAUACUAGGAGUCCAUGACGGUACCGUAAGAAUAAGCACCGGCUAACUACGUGCCAGCAGCCGCGGUAAUACGUAGGGUGCAAGCGUUAAUCGGAAUUACUGGGCGUAAAGCGUGCGCAGGCGGUUAUAUAAGACAGAUGUGAAAUCCCCGAGCUUAACUUGGGAACUGCAUUUGUGACUGUAUAGCUAGAGUACGGCAGAGGGGGAUGGAAUUCCGCGUGUAGCAGUGAAAUGCGUAGAUAUGCGGAGGAACACCGAUGGCGAAGGCAAUCCCCUGGGCCUGUACUGACGCUCAUGCACGAAAGCGUGGGGAGCAAACAGGAUUAGAUACCCUGGUAGUCCACGCCCUAAACGAUGUCAACUGGUUGUUGGGUCUUCACUGACUCAGUAACGAAGCUAACGCGUGAAGUGAC
rnacentral:rRNA from 1 species